CUUUAGCACUUGAAUGUUGCAGUAAUAGGAACGAGGAUAAAGCACCAUGUUUAACGUACUGAUAUCGAUUAGAGCUUCACCAACUGGUAGUUUGUGAUCGUCUAUUUUUCCUGCCAAAAAUGUUAAAAUAUCAUAAAGAUUCAUGGCAAGUAAGACAUCUAUUUUACUACUAAAAGAAAUUGUAUUGAUUUUAUCUUUCAGCAAAAUAUUUAAGUAGUGUCUCAGACUAAGAGACAAUAGAAAAUCAGAAUUUUCUGAAGUGAUUAGACCAGAAUUUCAACAUCGCUUUUGAGAAUCCCUUGAAUUGUGAGCUUAUUUGAACAUCUUUGUUUUGGCGUUUUCCUAAUGCUAGUUUUAAUCUGAUAAAUAGAUCAAGCAACCUAGAUCUUAAUCUACUCUUAGAUGGAGAUAAAUCAUCUUUAAAUUAAAACUGAAUGGUGCUUUGUUGUAGUUUGAACAGUCAUCAGUUUCCUCUUGAAAGAAAAGCUCAGGAACGUUCGAGAAAACUGCCAAUUUUCAACAGCUAGAAAUGGUUCCGAACUCAAGUUCUGAAACAUAAAUUCAAGGAAAAUUGGCGUUACAUAGAUAAACUGCACUAAUUAACUCAUGGACAAUGGAGCAUAAACAAUGAGAUAACUGACACCUCGUUGUUAGAAAAUAAUGUCACCGUUUAAAUUUCAGAGAAGAAAUUACAAAAUAUUUACCUCAUGAACCAUCACAGCCAUUUCAAGCUACUCAUUGUCAUUUAAUGAGUGAUUUCUGACUUCAAUUCAAGAAACGAAAUACUAAGGAAGUACGGAACUCAUAUUUUCCCUACAUGCAUAUAAUCUUGUCAAAUAAUUUCUAUGGCUUCAUCACUUGCAGUUCUUAUUACUGAAAUGAUUUUACCUACAAUUUAAAUUUAUUGAGUACUUAUAUCUUGGAUUCGUACUUAAAGGUAAUGUUUAAGAGCCUUCUCAGUUCAGCUUGAGCAAUUCUUUUUUGGGGGGAAGCCAUGCAAAGGAGGUUUCUCUCCACUUUCUUUCCAUGAGUUCCAUUUUAUCUGCUUAGCCAUUCUUGAAUAUAUUUUUGAGGAUAAAAUGACAAUGGGAACUUAUUGUCA
rnacentral:lncRNA from 1 species